rnacentral:rRNA from 1 species
AACGAACGCUGGCGGCAGGCUUAACACAUGCAAGUCGAACGCAUCCUUCGGGGCGAGUGGCAGACGGGUGAGAAACGCGUGGGAACGUGCCCUUCAGUUCGGAAUAACCCAGGGAAACUUGGGCUAAUACCGGAUACGUGCGAGAGCAGAAAGAUUUAUCGCUGAAGGAUCGGCCCGCGUCUGAUUAGCUAGUUGGUGGGGUAAUGGCCACCCAAGGCGACGAUCAGUAGCUGGUCUGAGAGGAUGAACAGCCACAUUGGGACUGAGACACGGCCCAAACUCCUACGGGAGGCAGCAGUGGGGAAUAUUGGACAAUGGGCGCAAGCCUGAUCCAGCCAUGCCGCGUGAGUGAUGACGGCCUUAGGGUUGUAAAGCUCUUUCGUCCGGGACGAUAAUGACGGUACCGGAAGAAGAAGCCCCGGCUAACUUCGUGCCAGCCGCCGCAGUAA